rnacentral:rRNA from 1 species
CCCCAGACUCCUACGGGAGGCAGCAGUGGGGGAUAUUGCACAAUGGGGGGAACCCUGAUGCAGCGACGCCGCGUGGGUGAAGGAGCGUUUCGGCGCGUAAAGCCCUAUCGGCAGGGAAGAAGGAGGACGGUACCUGACUAAGAAGCCCCGGCUAACUACGUGCCAGCAGCCGCGGUAAUACGUAGGGGGCAAGCGUUAUCCGGAUUUACUGGGUGUAAAGGGGGCGCAGACGGCAGCGCAAGCCAGGGGUGAAAGCCCGGGGCCCAACCCCGGGACUGCUCUUGGAACUGCGCGGCUGGAGUGCAGGAGGGGCAGGCGGAAUUCCUGGUGUAGCGGUGAAAUGCGUAGAUAUCAGGAGGAACACCGGUGGCGAAGGCGGCCUACUGGACUGCGACUGACGUUGAGGCCCGAAAGCGUGGGGAGCAAACAGGAUUAGAUACCCUCGUAA